rnacentral:rRNA from 1 species
UACUUAGUGGCAGACGGGUGAGUAACAUGUGGGUAUCUUCCCUUUGGUGAGGAAUAACACGAGGAAACUUGUGCUAAUACCUCAUAAGUCUUUACGGAGAAAGCUUUAUGCGCCAAUGGAUGAGCCUGCACUUGAUUAGUUUGUUGGUAGGGUAAUGGCCUACCAAGACUGUGAUCAAUAGCUGAUUUGAGAGGAUGAUCAGCCACAUUGGGACUGAGACACGGCCCAAACUCCUACGGGAGGCAGCAGUAGGGAAUCUUGCACAAUGGAGGAAACUCUGAUGCAGCGAUGCCGCGUGAGUGAAGAAGGCCCUUGGGUUGUAAAGCUCUUUCGUCGGGGAAGAAAAUGACUGUACCCGAAUAAGAAGG